UAAUACAGAGGGCGCGAGCGUUGUCCGGAAUCACUGGGCGUAAAGGGCGCGUAGGUGGCCACCAUAAGGCCGCGGUGAAAGUCUGGGGCUCAACCCCAGAUCGGCCGCGGCGACUGUGGGGCUCGGGUACUGUAGAGGCAGGUGGAAUUCCGGGUGUAGCGGUGGAAUGCGUAGAGAUCCGGAAGAACACCAGUGGCGAAGGCGGCCUGCUGGGCAGUGGACCUGAAAGGGUCCUUCAACCGACACUGAGGCGCGACAGCGUGGGGAGCAAACAGGAUUAGAUACCCUGGUAGUCCACGCCGUAAACGAUGGGCACUAGGUGCUCCGGGGAGCGACCCUUGGAGUACCGGCGCUAACGCAUGAAGUGCCCCGCCUGGGGAGUACGGCCGCAAGGCUG
rnacentral:rRNA from 1 species